rnacentral:rRNA from 1 species
UGGGGAAUUUUGCGCAAUGGGCGCAAGCCUGACGCAGCAACGCCGCGUGAGUGAAGACGCCUUUCGGGGUGCAAAGCUCUGUCAGUGGGGACGAAGGUGUGGUGAUGAACAGUUGCCAGGCGUGACGGUACCCACGAAGGAAGCCCCGGCUAACUCCGUGCCAGCAGCCGCGGUAAGACGGAGGGGGCGAGCGUUGUUCGGAAUUACUGGGCGUAAAGCGCACGCAGGCGGCGUGCCAAGUGCGAAGUGAAAGCCCUCGGCUUAACCGGUGAAGGGCUUCGCAGACUGGUAGGCUAGAGUGUCGGAGGGGGAGGCGGAAUUCCUGGUGGAGCGGUGAAAUGCGUAGAGAUCAGGAAGAACGUCGGUGGCGAAGGCGGCCUCCUGGACGAACACUGACGCUGAGGUGCGACAGCGUGGGGAGCGAACG